rnacentral:rRNA from 1 species
AGAGUUUGAUCAUGGCUCAGGACGAACGCUGGCGGCGUGCCUAACACAUGCAAGUCGAGCGAAGUUUAUUUAGCAGCGACUUCGGUCAAAGCUGAUUAAACUUAGCGGCGAACGGGUGAGUAACACGUAGGCAACCUGCCCAUGACACGGGGAUAGCUUCGGGAAACCGGAGGUAAUACCCGAUACCUUUACUUACUGCAUGAUAAGUAAAGAAAGCGAAUAGCGGUCAUGGAUGGGCCUGCGUCCCAUUAGCUAGUUGGUGAGAUAACAGCCCACCAAGGCGACGAUGGGUAGCCGACCUGAGAGGGUGACCGGCCACACUGGAACUGAGACACGGUCCAGACUCCUACGGGAGGCAGCAGUGGGGAAUCUUGCGCAAUGGGCGAAAGCCUGACGCAGCGACGCCGCGUGAGCGAAGAAGGCCUUCGGGUCGUAGAGCUCUGUCAUUGGGGAUGAGAUGACAGUACCCAAGGAGGAAGCCCCGGCUAACUACGUGCCAGCAGCCGCGGUAAUACGUAGGGGGCGAGCGUUGUCCGGAAUUACUGGGUGUAAAGGGCGUGUAGGCGGGGGUGCAAGUUACCGGUAAAAACCCAGGGCUCAACUCUGGGCUUGCCGGUAAAACUGCAUCUCUUGAGUGUAGGAGAGGGAAGUGGAAUUCCCGGAGUAGCGGUGAAAUGCGUAGAUACCGGGAGGAACACCAGUGGCGAAGGCGGCUUCCUGGCCUACAACUGACGCUGAGGCGCGAAAGCUAGGGUAGCGAACGGGAUUAGAUACCCCGGUAGUCCUAGCCGUAAACGAUGGUCACUAGGUGUGGGUGGUGGUCAAGCCAUCCGUGCCGGAGCUAACGCAAUAAGUGACCCACCUGGGGAGUACGGCCGCAAGGCUGAAACUCAAAUGAAUUGACGG